rnacentral:rRNA from 1 species
GGUUAAGUGACUAAGCGUACACGGUGGAUGCCUUGGCAGUCAGAGGCGAUGAAAGACGUAGUAACUUGCGAUAAGCCCAGAUUAGGUAGUAACAACCAUUUGAGUCUGGGAUUUCUGAAUGGGGAAACCCACGUGCAUAAGCACGUAUCCUUACCUGAAUACAUAGGGUAAGGAGGCGAACCGGGGAACUGAAACAUCUAAGUACCCCGAGGAAAAGAAAUCAACCGAGAUUCCGAAAGUAGCGGCGAGCGAAAUUGGACUAGCCCUUAAGCUUUACACGCGUUAGACGAACGGUCUGGAAAGUCCGACGAUACAGGGUGAUAGUCCCGUAGUUGACGACGUGUGUUCAGUGAAAUCGAGUAGGGCGGGACACGUGAUAUCCUGUCUGAAUAUGGGGGACCAUCCUCCAAGGCUAAAUACUACUGACUGACCGAUAGUGAACCAGUACCGUGAGGGAAAGGCGAAAAGAACCCCUGUGAGGGAGUGAAAUAGAACCUGAAACCGUGUACGUACAAGCAGUAGGAGCACCUUCGUGGUGUGACUGCGUACCUUUUGUAUAAUGGGUCAGCGACUUAUAUUCAGUGGCAAGGUUAACCAUCUAGGGGAGCCGUAGGGAAACCGAGUCUUAACUGGGCGUUCAGUCUCUGGAUAUAGACCCGAAACCAGGUGAUCUAGCCAUGGGCAGGUUGAAGGUUGAGUAACAUCAACUGGAGGACCGAACCGACUAAUGUUGAAAAAUUAGCGGAUGACUUGUGGCUAGGGGUGAAAGGCCAAUCAAACCUGGAGAUAGCUGGUUCUCCCCGAAAGCUAUUUAGGUAGCGCCUCGGACGAAUACUACUGGGGGUAGAGCACUGUUAAGGCUAGGGGUCAUCCCGACUUACCAACCCUUUGCAAACUCCGAAUACCAGUAAGUACUAUCCGGGAGACACACGGCGGGUGCUAACGUCCGUCGUGGAGAGGAAACAACCCAGACCGCCAGCUAAGGUCCCAAAUUACUACUAAGUGGGAAACGAUGUGGGAAGGCUCAGACAGCCAGGAUGUUGGCUUAGAAGCAGCCAUCAUUUAAAGAAAGCGUAAUAGCUCACUGGUCGAGUCGGCCUGCGCGGAAGAUGUAACGGGGCUAAGUAGUAAACCGAAGCUGCGGCAAUGUGCUUUUGCACAUUGGGUAGGGGAGCGUUCUGUAAGCGGUUGAAGGUGUGUGGUAACGCAUGCUGGACGUAUCAGAAGUGCGAAUGCUGACAUGAGUAACGAUAAAGGGGUGAAAAACCUCCUCGCCGGAAGACCAAGGGUUCCUGUCCAACGUUAAUCGGGGCAGGGUAAGUCGACCCCUAAGGCGAGGCCGAAAGGCGUAGUCGAUGGGAAACGGGUUAAUAUUCCCGUACUUCUUACAAUUGCGAUGGGGGGACGGAGAAGGCUAGGUGGGCCUGGCGACGGUUGUCCAGGUUCAAGUGCGUAGGCUUAAGAGUUAGGUAAAUCCGGCUCUUUCUAAGGCUGAGACACGACGUCGAGCUACUACGGUAGUGAAGUCAUUGAUGCCAUGCUUCCAGGAAAAGCCUCUAAGCUUCAGAUUGUAAGGAAUCGUACCCCAAACCGACACAGGUGGUCGGGUAGAGAAUACCAAGGCGCUUGAGAGAACUCGGGUGAAGGAACUAGGCAAAAUGGUACCGUAACUUCGGGAGAAGGUACGCUCUUGAUGGUGAAGUCCCUUGCGGAUGGAGCUGACGAGAGUCGCAGAUACCAGGUGGCUGCAACUGUUUAUUAAAAACACAGCACUGUGCAAAAUCGUAAGAUGACGUAUACGGUGUGACGCCUGCCCGGUGCCGGAAGGUUAAUUGAUGGGGUUAGACUUCGGUCGAAGCUCUUGAUCGAAGCCCCGGUAAACGGCGGCCGUAACUAUAACGGUCCUAAGGUAGCGAAAUUCCUUGUCGGGUAAGUUCCGACCUGCACGAAUGGCGUAAUGAUGGCCACGCUGUCUCCACCCGAGACUCAGUGAAAUUGAAAUCGCUGUGAAGAUGCAGUGUACCCGCGGCUAGACGGAAAGACCCCGUGAACCUUUACUACAGCUUGGCACUGAACAUUGACCCUACAUGUGUAGGAUAGGUGGGAGGCUUUGAAGCACGUACGCCAGUAUGUGUGGAGCCGUCCUUGAAAUACCACCCUUGUAGUGUUGAUGUUCUAACGUCGACCCCUAAUCGGGGUUGCGGACAGUGCCUGGUGGGUAGUUUGACUGGGGCGGUCUCCUCCCAAAGAGUAACGGAGGAGCACGAAGGUGGGCUAAUCACGGUUGGACAUCGUGAGGUUAGUGCAAUGGCAUAAGCCCGCUUGACUGCGAGAAUGACAAUUCGAGCAGGUGCGAAAGCAGGUCAUAGUGAUCCGGUGGUUCUGAAUGGAAGGGCCAUCGCUCAACGGAUAAAAGGUACUCCGGGGAUAACAGGCUGAUACCGCCCAAGAGUUCAUAUCGACGGCGGUGUUUGGCACCUCGAUGUCGGCUCAUCACAUCCUGGGGCUGAAGUCGGUCCCAAGGGUAUGGCUGUUCGCCAUUUAAAGUGGUACGCGAGCUGGGUUUAGAACGUCGUGAGACAGUUCGGUCCCUAUCUGCCGUGGGCGUUGGAAGAUUGAAGGGGCUGCUCCUAGUACGAGAGGACCGGAGUGGACGAACCUCUGGUGUUCGGGUUGUGUCGCCAGACGCAUUGCCCGGUAGCUAAGUUCGGAAUCGAUAACCGCUGAAAGCAUCUAAGCGGGAAGCGAGCCCUGAGAUGAGUCUUCCCUGAUACUUUAAGUAUCCUAAAGGGUUGUCGGAGACUACGACGUUGAUAGGUCAGGUGUGUAAGUGCUGUGAGGCAUUGAGCUAACUGAUACUAAUUGCCCGUGAGGCUUAACCAU